UUAUAAUUAUAAACCAUGUAUGCAUAUAUUCUAGUUUGCUUUUCUAUUGCUGUGAUAAACACCAUGACCAAAAGCUGUUUGGAAGAGAGAGGGUUUAUUUCAUCUAAUGGGUCACAGACCAUCAUCAAGGGAAGCGAAGGCCAGAGCUUGAAGCCAAGACCACAAAGGAAGGCUGUUUGCUGGCUUUACUCCUUUGUUUCCAUGAAGCUGCCUUUCUUACACAGCCCGGGCCCAUCUGCCUAGGGAUGGUACCUCCCACUGUGGGCUGGGUCAGAACUACAUCAAUCAAGUCUCACAGACUUGUUCACGGCUGACGUGAUGGAGGCAGCUCUCAGUGGACGGUCCCUCUUAGACCUGGGACAAUAAGACAUUUCUCAAGUGGGUUGCCGUGUGGAGAAGGUCGCAGAUGCAUUUGAAUCAAGAGGAACUGCUAAAAAGAGCUAGAAUGUAUGUGAGGACCAUGAAAGGACAGCACUGAGGCCUCUGACGGAAAGGAUUGUUACUACUUCUGGUCAGGAAGACCCCUGUGGCAUCGCAAACAAUACAAGCUCUAGUCAUUCCUCCUGACUUCCCACCAUAACCAGACCCUUUCUGCUGAAGACACCACCCACUCAGAGAGCUCAGUCUUGGCCUGACCAGGAAACUCAUUGCUGUUCAAAGCGCUGAGAAUAAGUGGCAGUGAAUACAUGGCACUAGACAGGACAACUACAUCCACUCCCGCACCUGACCUCAGGCUCUGGGAACACCAAGGACAAAAGACUGGGAGAGCCGGAGGGUGGGGAGGAGGAUGCGAAGUGCUGUCUCCGGACAGGGCGCAGAUGAAACGUAAGAGCCCCACAGCAGCUGUCGGUACCUGCACAACAUCAGAGUGCCCGGGCAGACAGCACCCAGACAAGGCUACGGUGACUGAUCUUUUCAGAGGCUGGAAACACCUUUGUGGAAAGGGUGGUUGUGUCUCACUGGGCCAAAGCAACACGCUCUGAAGUCAGAGGCAGUCCAUCCCUGAAGGAAGUCAGGACGGGAACUCAAGCAGGACGGAAACCUGGAGUCAAAAGUUGAUGCAGAGGCCAUGGAGGAGUAUUGCUUACGAGCUUGCUCACCAUGGCUUGCUCAGCCUGCUGUCUUAUAAAACCCAGGACCAUCAGCCCAGGGAUGGCACCAACUACAAUGGGCUGGGCCCUCCCCCCUCCCCCAUCAAUCGCUAAUUAAGAAAAUACACCGUAGCUGGA